UGGGGAAUAUUGGACAAUGGGCGAAAGCCUGAUCCAGCCAUGCCGCGUGUGUGAAGAAGGUCUUCGGAUUGUAAAGCACUUUAAGUUGGGAGGAAGGGCAUUAACCUAAUACGUUAGUGUUUUGACGUUACCGACAGAAUAAGCACCGGCUAACUCUGUGCCAGCAGCCGCGGUAAUACAGAGGGUGCAAGCGUUAAUCGGAAUUACUGGGCGUAAAGCGCGCGUAGGUGGUUUGUUAAGUUGGAUGUGAACGCCCCGGGCUCAACCUGGGAACUGCAUCCAAAACUGGCAAGCUAGAGUACGGUAGAGGGUGGUGGAAUUGCCUGUGUAGCGGUGAAAUGCGUAGAUAUAGGAAGGAACACCAGUGGCGAAGGCGACCACCUGGACUGAUACUGACACUGAGGUGCGAAAGCGUGGGGAGCAAACA
rnacentral:rRNA from 1 species